AUUUAAGUAGCUUAUAUUUAAAGUUUAAUAUUGAAGAUAUUAAGAAAAUUUCUAAAUUCUUAAAUA
rnacentral:tRNA from 1 species